UCAUGCAAAGCAAAUAAAAGCCUUGUAAAACUAAUGAAAGGUUGUCAGAACAGGUUUCAUGAGCUACGAACUCAAUAUAUAUUAAAAAAUCAUUGGCUUAAACGUAUUAUUUAUUUUUUUACAAUUGCGUUAAACUCACAACAAGCAAAUUAAACGAGUUGAUGCUGGCUUCUGAUUGGUCGUUGAGCCCCCACCGCAGCCGGAAGCUAUUCCCUCCAGGCGUUUCUCAGCCUCACCUAUGCGCCCCGGCCCGGCUCCACUACCUCCGCCACCGCCACCAGAGGAAGGAGCAAUGGCCGUCCCAUCCUCUGGCCGCUCCGGAGGGUCUCGGGGUAAGGGCCGCUGGCCGCUAUACCACCAGCGGGUUUCCUCUCCAUUCAUCGCGCAGGAAUUUGGCCGUCGCUUCCUGCCUCGCGCGGAGCCGGAGCAGUGUUGCGCUGCGUGGCUGGAGCUGGUCUGUUACCGGCCCCGGGCGGCUGUGUUCCUGUUUCCAGCGAUGUCUCGGUGCACGUGAGUCAUUACGAGCCCGGGUGUGAGGUGACCAAUGCGGUGCCCGGGACAGAAAGCAGACACAGGCCUCCCGGUCAGCUGGGGUCAGGCGUCCACAAACGACCCUGCCGUCCGUCGCUAGGGACCAUUGUGCGUUGUUAGGGGAGAAGUGCUGCUGAAAAUAAACUGA